rnacentral:rRNA from 1 species
AACGAACGCUGGCGGCAGGCCUAACACAUGCAAGUCGAGCGAACCCUUCGGGGUUAGCGGCGGACGGGUGAGUAACGCGUGGGAAUAUGCCCUUUGGUACGGAACAACAGCUGGAAACGGCUGCUAAUACCGUAUGUGCCCUACGGGGGAAAGAUUUAUCGCCAAAGGAUUAGCCCGCGUCGGAUUAGAUAGUUGGUGAGGUAACGGCUCACCAAGUCGACGAUCCGUACCUGGUUUGAGAGGAUGAUCAGGCACACUGGGACUGAGACACGGCCCAG